rnacentral:lncRNA from 1 species
GAACACUUUAUAAGGUAAUAUCAUGUUGUAGAUGAGAAAUGAAAAACAGUUUAAACUUUUAGCAUAUCUAGUGAAAUGUCAAGAGUUGUCUGUCGUCUGUUGUCCUUUUUAUAGCUAAUCUGCCAAAUAAGUCAUUUCACCUUUUGAUUUCAAGACCAGGCACACUCUAGUAACUAGAGCAUCCUUAGCGCUAGCCUGUUACCUCUUUCUGAACCUUUCUUUUGACUUUGCACAUUCCUGUGCAAUUAUUUCUCAAUGAGCAUCACUUUUCUAGUUAGCAUUUGCUGUUUAGCAUGUUUGCUAUCUUACCUAUUAUGUUUUUUGUUUUGUUUUGUUUUUGUUUUUAAAUCCACUUAUAUUUUAGAACCAGAACAUGUACUAUAGCUUUCCUAUUCUGGGAACAGAAAGGGGAAAAAAAUAAAAAAGAAAGAAAAAAAAAAGAAAAAGAGAAGAGAAGAGAAGAGAAGAGAAGAGAAGAGAAGAGAAGAGAAGAGAAGAGAAGAGAAGAGAAAAGAAAAGAAAAGAAAAGAAAAGAAAAGAAAAGAAAAGAAAAGAAAAGAAAAGAAAAGAAAAGAAAAGAAAAGAAAAGAAAAGAAAAGAAAAGAAAAAAGAAAAGAAAAAAAGAAAAAAACAGUUGCAGAUUCCUGAUCUUGUCUUGUCCCAGCUGAAUCACUGACUAGAGCAGGCAACUUUCUUGUUCACCUUGGCCUUACUGACUGAUUCUCCAGAAGAGAGAUGGACAUCAUCAGUCUGAACAUUAGCAGCCUCACCACAGCAGUUGACUCUAUACUUUCUGUAUAGCAGCUGGAGGAUAUUUUUGCCUUAUCUCAAGCCUCCUCAUGCCAAUUUCAGCUGUUGAAGAGGUACUCCAGCUUUAGGCUGUAUCAUGCUCCUUCAAGACAUGUUUCUUAAACCAAUAUCUGAUGUAGACAGGGAAAUGGGAGGUGUACAAGGGAUCAUGGUUUGUGAACAAGGAUAUCACACAACAACUAAAAUUAAAAGAAACAGUUAUUCCUCUGCAAUUAUUUCAAAUAUUAUGGUGUCAGGUAAGCAGAAAGCAGCACUGACAUUUUUCACAGCAAGAUUAAAGAAGCAUUCUUAUAGACAACAUUAAAAACAACUUUUAACCCACACCUCCUUGGUCUGGUAGAAUAAAGUGGUGAGCAAUUAUCA